rnacentral:rRNA from 1 species
CAGCAGCCGCGGGAAUACGGAGGGGGCUAGCGUUGUUCGGAAUUACUGGGCGUAAAGCGCACGUAGGCGGCUUUGUAAGUUAGAGGUGAAAGCCCGGAGCUCAACUCCGGAAUUGCCUUUAAGACUGCAGAGCUAGCAGGUGAGAGAGGUGAGUGGAAUUCCGAGUGUAGAGGUGAAAUUCGUAGAUAUUCGGAAGAACACCAGUGGCGAAGGCGGCUCACUGGCUCAUACUGGACGCUGAGGUGCGAAAGCGUGGGGAGCAAACAGGAUUAGAUACCCCAGUAGUCCCUGUCUCUUAUAA